UGGAAAGGUCUUUUUGGAGUAUGCUGAUGUGGAGAGUUCUUCGAGAGCUCAACAAGGAUUGAAUGGCAGAAAAUUCGGAGGAAAUGAAGUUGUUGCUGUCUUUUAUUCAGAGAACAAGUUCUCCGAGGGAGACUAUGAGGGCUAGGGUAGGUAGUAUCUGCUCGACUGGCCUUGAGUGUACUCAGCCAGACAAUGUCUUGUAUUGAAUAGCUAGCUUAUGUAUCAUUAACGUUGAAAAUGUUGGGUCGGUCUGGGGAUUUUAUGAACCAGCUAUAAGACUGGCUGCUACUUAGAUAGCAAUAGUGCAGUUUGCCUAGUCAAAGAGGCAUCGCGUGUUUUGCCCGUGCAUGGCUUUACUUACAGUUAGCCUGGUCUUUGCAUUGUUACUUACUGACAUGGAUAUCGUUAACCAUCUCGAUGUUUUCUCUAUCUAGA
rnacentral:misc_RNA from 1 species